GGCAGUCGCGCCGUCCUCCGGCGGUUACCGAUCUCCGCUUAUUCACUCGUGGCGCGACCUGUCUGUAGGGAGGGUGUGUGUCCCGUCCUGCCAGACGGCGCUGCGCCCUCCUCUCGCGGCAGCAAGCUGGCCAGCGCGCUCAAUCCCUGUAUCCAAUGAAGAUAAUAAAUUCAGAAAGUGAAUUCAGAAUUCUGAUACAUGAGAGUUCACAUCAGAAUUCCCAGCAAACUCAUGAUAUCGCCAAGCCAAGACAAAACUGGUAUUUCCUGAGACAUACUGACUACAGUGGACACAAGGUUGAGCACACAAUGUCUCAGACACAAGCAGAUAUAAAGAAGCUUUUUCAAGAUGUUUUGCAGCAACUGACAAGUCAUCACCGAAUUGUUUCUUGAAUUAUAUGUGUGUCACAUACAUCUGGGAUGGACAUUAAAAAUAUUCCAAUUUCAU
rnacentral:lncRNA from 7 species